rnacentral:lncRNA from 1 species
CUCAAGUCAAUGCCUGUGCGCUGUAAACAAAGAUGGCGCGAGAACAGGUGUGUGAGGCUGUCAGAUGAGGCGCUUCGGGUACAACUGAGAUAUUAAAAGAUUUGUGUCGAGAGAUAACAUUAAACAUCGCAGGGAUGGUGAAUCCAUUUCCUUGGGGGAAGUGGUGAAUCAAGUUUCUGGGACUCUGAUGGUUGGCCCUUUUCCAGUUCCUCCUAAGGAUUCUGAAGGUAUUUUGUUUUGCAGAGGAGAAUGAUAGUGGCUUGGUAUUAUCCAAACAACUGCCAGCUUGUGAAUACUGCAUCACAGGAACCUGCUUGCAACUGAUAGAAACAGUACCAGGAUAUCACAACUUCAGCAGAUGUAGCCUGUCAUACUAUAUUCUUGUCCCAGGUUGGAAAGGAUCUGCAUUUCUGUUUCCAACAUACAUUUUAGUUGACCAACAACUCCAUUCCAUCAUAACAACCGAACCAGGGUCUUUGUGUCUUUAGCUAGACAUGAAUCAGUCUAUGUUUGUUGAGGUGGCAGAGUCCGACAGGGAAGUGUACAGCACCCCUAUAGUCCUCGAAGAGAAAGGACUGACACAGAUGUCAACUGUUGACAUAUCACUGGGGGUCAUCUUCGGCAUUUGUGGGGCUGUUAUCUUAGUGGCUGCUGCUUAUUACUUUUGGAAGAAUUAUCAGAGGCGUCAAAGAAUACUUCGAGUUUUCGGGCAGCCUCACGCUGACCCAUUUGAAGCAUUACACAGCAGCGUGGAGGAGGAGUCCUCCAUCAUCAGUUUGUAAUUGUACAUCCAUCAGUCAUUUCUACAUAAUAUUUACCAUUAGCACAGUGUCCUUCUCUUCAUAUAUUUAUAAAGUUCACUUACACAAAAGAUAAAGGAAAGUGCUAUUUCAGUGUGUCAGAAAAAGCAGCCUCCCUUAUAUACUGUGAGAACAAGGCUUAAUGCAGAAGACUUGAGUGACCUCUGAUUCACCAACAUACAUAUUUUACUAGUAUAUACUGUGAAACAUUGCACAUAAAUGAAGUGGCAUGUUAUUUCAAAAUCAUUUGAAGUGAUAGGGUGUAUUUAUGGCAUUGUUAAUAGGCUUCACUGCUGGCAAACAGUGUGAUUGCUGUGCAUCUACCUGGAGGAAAAAUCUCAAAAUAUUGCUUAACAUGUUUAUCAUUGACUUUGUCUACAAAAUUAAUGCUGACAUUGUGUCAUCUUUAGUUAUCCCAGCAAUGUGAUGAAUCCAUAUAUGUCAAGAAAUGCCUUUUGGUUUUACAGUUUUACGAGUCAUGAAAUCUGUUGACAAAAUGUCAAAUGUGUGUAUGCUAUUGCAAAUGUUUCAUACUUCGCUGUCAAGGAAUCGGGCUGAUGUUUCCAAGGUAUGAAAUCUGUAGCUGCAGGAAGAAAUUGUAAAGUAACUAUCAUGGCUAUAGAGAAGUUUAAAGGUGGCAUGUAUUGUCAAAAUCGAUUAUCGAUAUUACUACAUUAUCAUUUAUGUUGGAAAAUCAUUGAUAUCUCAUGUCAUGGUGAAUGUAAUGUUUCGUCAAUGAGAUCCAAGAUGUUUUAACUGUAUGAAAUGUAAUCUGUACAUUGUCAUAGUCAUUGUGUACUUCAGUUCUUAUGUUGAUGUAGUCAUUAAAGAAGGAACAUCCUUCAAAACAAA